rnacentral:misc_RNA from 1 species
CGAUAGGUGAACCUGCGGAAGGAUCAUUAUCGAACGAACAAGAAAAGUCUUGGAAGAGGUGAAGGCGGGAUUGUCGCUGGCCAACUUGUGGGUGAUUCCGCUGGCAUGUGCAUGUGCACGUCCCCCCUUUGCUUGUUUCAUCUCUUUUUCUCUACACCCGUGCACUCAUUGUAGGUCCUCGAGAGAGGAUCUAUGUUUUCCAUCCACCAUAAAGUAUGUUUGUAGAAGGUCAUGAUAAAUUUAUACAACUUUCAGCAAUGGAUCUCUUGGUUCUCGCAUCGAUGAAGAACGCAGCGAAUUGCGAUAAGUAAUGUGAAUWGCAGAUUWUUCAGUGAAUCAUCGAAUCUUUGAACGCACCUUGCGCUCCUUGGUAUUCCGAGGAGCAUGCCUGUUUGAGUGUCAUUUAAUUCUCAACCAUGUCUCGAUCGAUUUCGAGCCAUGGCUUGGAGUGUGGGGGGUUUGCUGGCCUUUCUCUAGGUCAGCUCUCCUGAAAUGCAUUAGCGAUCUGGCGAGCUUGGUCCUGG